AGUUUGGUGGUCUAGAGGUAUGAUUCUCGCUCAGGUAGCGAGAGGUCCCGGGUUGAAAUCCCUACCGAGCCC